AACGAACGCUGGCGGCAUGCCUAACACAUGCAAGUCGAACGAGACCUUCGGGUCUAGUGGCGCACGGGUGCGUAACGCGUGGGAACCUGCCCUUAGGUUCGGAAUAACUCCCCGAAAGGGGUGCUAAUACCGGAUAAUGUCUUCGGACCAAAGAUUUAUCGCCUUUGGCUGGGCCCGCGUUGGAUUAGCUAGUUGGUAGGGUAAAAGCAUACCAAGGCGACGAUCCAUAGCUGGUCUGAGAGGAUGAUCAGGCACACUGGGACUGAGACACGGCCCAGACUCCUACGGGAGGCAGCAGUGGGGAAUAUUGGACAAUGGGCGAAAGCCUGAGCCAGCAAGGCCGCGUGAGUGAUGAAGGCCUUAGGGUUGUAAAGCUCUUUUACCCGGGAUGAUAAUGACAGUACCGGGAGAAGAAGCUCCGGCUAACUCCGUG
rnacentral:rRNA from 1 species